AAACCUGUCUGCAAAAACAAGAACAGAUUCCCCAAUGUACUUCCAUGUACAGGCUGAUUGGUCCAUUGCUGAGAUGAAUGCUGAGAUUGGGGAGAGCCACACCUACCUCUACACAUCACAGACUGAUGAACAGGCCUGGCAAAUGGACCGAUGAUUGCAGUGAUUGCCGUUACCGCUGCUUAGUCCUCCUCAUUAUUGUCAUCAUCCUCAUCACUCUGGUCAUCAGAAAGGUCAAGGGUAAGAUGACGAGGAGCCAGUCCUCCUACCAGAUGACUACCGCCCUCCCCGCCCCCAAACCGGUGCUCCCAGGAUCGGCCCGGCAACGCCAGUGAUGAUAGUUUUUACGCUGCUGUGGGCGGGGCCACAGUAGAGUCCACCAUCAGUGCCAGUGAUGACAAUUGUUAUGCUGCUGUGGGCGGGGCAGCAGGUGGGGCCACAGCAGAGUCCACUAUCAAUGCCAGUGAUAACAAUUGUUACGCUGCUGUGGGCGGGCCAGUGGGUGGGGUCAUUACAGAGUUUACCAUCGACGCCAGUGAUGACAAUUGUUAUGCUGCUGUGGGCGGGGCAGCGGGUGGGGCCACAGCAGAGUCCACCAUCAAUGACAGU
rnacentral:misc_RNA from 1 species